GAUCAUGGCUCAGGAUCGAACGCUAGCUACAGGCUUAANACAUGCAAGUCGAGGGGAAACGACAUCGAAAGCUUGCUUUUGAUGGGCGUCGACCGGCGCACGGGUGAGUAACGCGUAUCCAACCCUGCCCCACCCAACUUGGGGAUAACCUUGCGAAAGUAAGACUAAUACCCGAUGAUAUCUCUAGAAGACAUCUGAAAGGGAUUAAAGAUUUAUCGGUGAUGGAUGGGGAUGCGUCUGAUUAGCUUGUUGGCGGGGUAACGGCCCACCAAGGCAACGAUCAGUAGGGGUUCUGAGAGGAAGGUCCCCCACAUUGGAACUGAGACACGGUCCAAACUCCUACGGGAGGCAGCAGUGAGGAAUAUUGGUCAAUGGGCGAGAGCCUGAACCAGCCAAGUAGCGUGCAGGACGACGGCCCUAUGGGUUGUAAACUGCUUUUAUAAGGGAAUAAAGUGAGUCUCGUGAGGCUUUUUGCAUGUACCUUAUGAAUAAGGACCGGCUAAUUCCGUG
rnacentral:rRNA from 1 species